ensembl:lncRNA
UUUUUUUAUUUUUUUGUCAGUUGGAUGUUACUAGAAGGUGAAAGCUUCUGGUACAGAAUACAGUUGUGAAACAUUUUCCAUCUGGCAGCGUUUGAGGUAUUUAAUGUGAUGGCGAGUGGGCAGUGUGCGACUCUGUCUGCAAGUGUCUGUCCUAAAAAGUGUCAGCAUCCUGUGUAACGGCACAGUGGAUGCCGUUACACAGGAUGCACAAUCAUGUGUCUGUUUUGUCAAUCCUGUUUGUCCUGCAAAACUUGCCAAAAAGACUAAAAUCUACUCCAGGUUGAGUUAAUUUUUUUGUGUCUUUUCCGUUUUAGCAUUACAUCUUGUACUUUUUUUUUUUUUUUUUUCUUUCUUCUCAUGUGUUCACCUGUAACCUGUUUCGCCAUACUGUUACUGAGUCAUGCAGUUUGACUCCCAAUGGCAGCUUGUUUGAGUCCUCACAUUGGGGUUGGGAUUAUUCUGUUACAGCAUCUAUACCAUAAUGCCAUCUUCCACAGGCCAAAUAUUAAAUUAGUGGAUUUCAUUAGUUUGUUUUUUGUUUUGUUUUUUUUUUUCUUUCUAUCCAAAUGUGCACUUCAAUAAGCAGUCAGAUCAUUGGGUUGUUUGUGUAGGAACACUGUAUUACAAAAAGCCGCCUGAACUGUACGUCUUGAACUUUAGCAACACAGAAAAACUUUACUGGUCCUGUUUUUCUUUUGAAUUUGAAGAGUAUGUAAAUGAAUGGUAAUCACGGAGUCUGACAAAUCCCUGAAAUCAAGUCAACACAAAUUGUUUGUUUUUUUUAUAAAUUCUGUAAAUAUGUAUGAUUUUUGUCUAUCAUUUAGGUAUUUUCAUUUGACAGAGAUUUAUAUUCAAAUAUGAAAUAAAAAUGAUAAAUUAUUAGCACGUGGCUUUCAUGGACUAUUUUAAACGCACAGAUUUCCCUUUGUUUCCUCAACGUUACUUUCAGCUGCUGUGUCUUUGAUUUAGAAGAUUAUAUUUCUUCUGUGUGGGAUGGCCUUCCUGACACAACCCCGAAGGAAUUCAGAUCUCCUCCUGGGAUCAGACCGGGGCUCUUGUUGGGUGAAUGUGUAAACUACAACAUUAUAUAAACGGCAAAAUUAGUUCAACUCUACAAAUCAGCUUCUAUUUUCAUUUCACUUUUGGUCUUGGGUGCGUCACACUGUGGAAACUGUCAGGUGGAAUAUUUUUAGGACUCGCCUGUUCUUUAAUGCGGCCGUUCACACCAAAUGCUGAAUGAAUUUGUGGCAGUUAUUGCUUUUUUUUUUUUUUUGCAUUUGGCAAAAGAGCUUGUAACCCAAAUUGUGCACAGUUACUGAAUAUACACAGACACUGUUCCUGGUCAGUUGACUCUCAAAUCAUUUCUCUCCCUUCUCAUUUUUUAC